AGCUCCAAUAGCGUAUAUUUAAGUUGUUGCAGUUAAAAAGCUCGUAGUUGGACCUUGGGUUGAGUCGAUCGGUCCGCCUUGUUGUGUGCAUCGGUCGUCUCGUCCCUUCUGCCAAUGAUGCGUGCCUGGCCUUAGUUGGUCGGGUCGUGCCUGUGGCACUGUUACUUUGAAGAAAUUAGAGUGCUCAAAGCAAGCCCACGCUCUGGAUACAUUAGCAUGGGAUAACAUCACAGGAUUUCGUUCCUAUUGUGUUGGCCUUGGGGAUUGGAGUAAUGAUUAAGAGGGACAGUCGGGGGCAUUCGUAUUUCAUAGUCAGAGGUGAAAUUCUUGGAUUUAUGAAAGACGAACCACUGCGAAAGCAUUUGCCAAGGAUGUUUUCA
rnacentral:rRNA from 1 species